rnacentral:lncRNA from 1 species
GAAGGUACUCGGGGUUUGAUGCACAUAAUUAAUUACAGGCAAAUAGACGUCACGCACCCAGAAAUGUGACGUCUAGUUUGUAGAAAUUUUUGUCUUCCCGCCUUCUGGACAGGCCAUAGACGUCGGUUUUUGACAACCUGACAUUUAAUCGCCUGGGAAUCAGGUGACCAACAUUAAUUGCACCCAAGUAGACGUCGACCCCCCAUCGCAACCGACGUCAAAUGUGUAGGAGAAGUUUGUCUUCUCGCUUAUCUCAUUACAUUGGAUGUCGGCUUAUGGCAGAGUUGACGUGUACUGCUUAAUAGACGUCGUAUUACCUUGAAGCCGACAUUUAGGUUACCAUCUUAUUUAUUAUAAUGCCACCGGUCAUCAUAUGACGUCGGUGGAGCUCUAACAGACGUCUAUAAGGUAACGUUAAACAGUG